UGAAAAGAGGAUUCUGGAGUCUCAAACUUCUACAGGCAGGAAGGGGCUGAGAAAAUGAUUUAGUUCAAAACAUAGGCUGUCUUCCUAUGAAAAAGGAAGGAAGACACAGAGAACAGAAGCAAGAACUCAGAGGGCACAGCAAAGAGUCAUUGAGAAACAGGGCCGGAAUAGAACUGAAAUAAUCAAAUAGAACUUCUAACACUUUCUUGGCUGGAUUCCAAAAUUGCCAUGGACUGCUAAUUAUUGUGCCUCCUGUCCUCACUCUUUGAAAACAACCGUCUAUAGUGAUAGUCUUAUGCCUGACCCAGCACUGUAUUUUGGGUAUGUGGGGGGCAGAUAACUAACCUUUAAUUUGCCAGUCUUCAAACUGAGAUAAGCUAGACUAAAGGAUUCUCAUCUCUUUCCAAAUGUGAUCUAGAAGACAAAAUACUGAACUGGGAGCUGAUAAUGUAAAGGGAUAAUACUCAGAGUGAAGAAGAGACAGUUAUCAAGAAGUACCCUUAGAAUAUGCAGCAAGUUGCUACAGUGUGUUAUCACCGGCUUCUAACUCGGAAAGUGAUCCAAAGGACUUUCCAUGGACAAAGCAGUGAAGAUUCAAUAUCCAAGUCUGUUGAUUCUAGGACUCCAGGAGCACCCACACGUGGAAAGAGCUGGAGCUGAGCAAGCAUAAUGCCUGCACUCUGCAAUCUCAGUGGAGUGAGUCAACACAUAUGCCUGAAGCUAAGGUAGCUGGGUUUGUGAAUAUACAGAAGCAAGGACAUGCCGGAAUAACAC